rnacentral:rRNA from 1 species
GUGACCUCAGAUCAGGUAGA